rnacentral:rRNA from 1 species
GACGAACGCUGGCGGCGUGCCUAAUACAUGCAAGUCGAACGCUUCUUUCCUCCCGAGUGCUUGCACUCAAUUGGAAAGAGGAGUGGCGGACGGGUGAGUAACACGUGGGUAACCUACCCAUCAGAGGGGGAUAACACUUGGAAACAGGUGCUAAUACCGCAUAACAGUUUAUGCCGCAUGGCAUAAGAGUGAAAGGCGCUUUCGGGCGUCGCUGAUGGAUGGACCCGCGGUGCAUUAGCUAGUUGGUGAGGUAACGGCUCACCAAGGCCACGAUGCAUAGCCGACCUGAGAGGGUGGUCGGCCACACUGGGACUGAGACACGGCCCAGACUCCUACGGGAGGCAGCAGUAGGGAAUCUUCGGCAAUGGACGAAAGUCUGACCGAGCAACGCCGCGUGAGUGAAGAAGGUUUUCGGAUCGUAAAACUCUGUUGUUAGAGAAGAACAAGGACGUUAGUAACUGAACGUCCCCUGACGGUAUCUAACCAGAAAGCCACGGCUAACUACGUG